rnacentral:lncRNA from 1 species
UGGUUAAUUGUGAACUAGUAAGUGGUGACUGUGAUUAAGUAUGUGCUCAAGUGUAAAAAUGACCAAAAUCUGUGGGAAUGAUGAUUUUUAACAUGUCAUGUUUCAUUAAAAAUCCCUGAGGAAAAUGUUGGAAGGUCUAGGUUGUGUUUUGUUUGUUUCAUUUUUGUUUUGCUCGAGGACUAGCAAAAGCUAAGUGUGGGGGAAUUUGAUAAGAGCAUAUUUAUGCGACUGAGUUAGCUUGUUCUCAUGCAUUUAUGUUGUUAUUUCUUAGUUAAUUAUGUAUGUUAUGUUGGAAAUGUGCCCUAAAACCAAUCAUAUGAUGAUAUUUUACGGACAUUUCACAUGUUAAACUAAUCUAGUUUAAUAUCAAGGGCAAAGAUUAUUGUUUGAGCCGUCUCAUAUAAAUGUUAUAUGCUUAAAUGAUAAGUCCAAGGAAUAUGUGAUUGGGAGAAUACGAUCUAAAGAAGUUAGAUUCAUGAGACCAUUCUUUCGUAGA